GGUCUCUUAGCUAAGCGGUUAUAGCGUGGGAUUGCAGAUCCCAAGGUCCUUGGUUCGAGUCCGAGAGGGACCU
rnacentral:tRNA from 1 species